rnacentral:rRNA from 1 species
UACGUAGGGCGCGAGCGUUUGUCCGGAUUUAUUGGGCGUAAAGAGCUCGUAGGCGGCUUGUCGCGUCGUCCGUGAAAACCUGCAGCUCAACUGCAGGCUUGCGGUCGAUACGGGCAGGCUAGAGUUCGGUAGGGGAGACUGGAAUUUACGGUGUAGCGGUGAAAUGCGUAGAUAUCGUAAGGAAGACCAGUGGCGAAGGCGGGUCUCUGGGCCGAUACUGACGCUGAGGAGCGAAAGCGUGGGGAGCGAACAGG